rnacentral:misc_RNA from 1 species
GUGUAACAAAAUUAUUCUUUUCCAAUAUAUCAACCAAUAUUGCAUGGGUAUCAGAAGUCUCAAAUCCUACAACAUUUUCCACAAAAAGAUAUGAUGGAGGACGUAAUAACUGUGGUACAAGUUCCAGAAUUUUAAGAAAUGAUGAUGCACGUGCAUCACUAGAACCUUUCUGGAGUCCUUGUCGAGUAUAUGGCUGACAAGGAGGAGAAAGUAACCAAGCAUCAGCAUUGUAGCCGUCAAGAUCAGCGGCAUUCAGAGUCUGAAUGUUACCCUGAAAAGGCCGGUGACCGAAGUUGUGCUGGUAAACA